UAGGGAAUCUUCCGCAAUGGGCGAAAGCCUGACGGAGCAACGCCGCGUGAGUGAAGAAGGAUUUUGGUUCGUAAAGCUCUGUUGUUAGGGAAGAAUGAUUGUGUAGUAACUAUACACAGUAGAGACGGUACCUAACCAGAAAGCCACGGCUAACUACGUGCCAGCAGCCGCGGUAAUACGUAGGUGGCAAGCGUUGUCCGGAAUUAUUGGGCGUAAAGCGCGCGCAGGUGGUUUAAUAAGUCUGAUGUGAAAGCCCACGGCUCAACCGUGGAGGGUCAUUGGAAACUGUUAAACUUGAGUGCAGGAGAGAAAAGUGGAAUUCCUAGUGUAGCGGUGAAAUGCGUAGAGAUUAGGAGGAACACCAGUGGCGAAGGCGGCUUUUUGGCCUGUAACUGACACUGAGGCGCGAAAGCGUGGGGAGCAAACAGGAUUAGAUACCCUGGUAGUCCACGCCGUAAACGAUGAGUGCUAAGUGUUGGUCUCAUAAGAGAUCAGUGCUGCAGCUAACGCAUUAAGCACUCCGCCUGGGGAGUACGACCGCAAGGUUG
rnacentral:rRNA from 1 species